rnacentral:lncRNA from 1 species
UCACUUGUUCACUCUCUUAGGUAGAGUCCUUCAGAGAAACAGAAGCAGAAAGACAUAGACAGAGAAAAAAAAGGAAAAGAGGGUUACGAUUAGAAAUUGUCUCACAUGAGCACAGAGGCUGAGAAGCCCCACACUCUGCAUUUGGCAAGCUGGAGACCCAGGAGAGCCAAUGUGUUUCGGUUCCAGUCACAAAGCAGAAAAUAACUGAUGUACCAGCUUUUUGUCAGUCAGGGUCGUCCUCUCUUGCCCAAGCUGGAGUGCACGAUCAUGGCUCACUACAGCCUCAACCUUCCGGGUUCAAGCAAUCCUCCUACAUCAGCCCCCAACUGGCUGGGACUACAGGCACAAGCCACCAUGCUCAGCUAAUUUUUAUUUUUUACUUUUCUGUAGUUAAGGGAUAUCAAUUUUUCUUAUUUUAUAUAUGAUAAAACUGAAGCUCAGAAGAGGUAAAGUCAUAAAAGAGAUGAACUUAAGAUAUAACUCCAGCUUGGUCUGGCAUCCGCUUCAAAAACAGUUCUCAUGAGACACCUUAGUAGCUAUUCCUCACUCCAACCCUCGACUUAGAUCUUCCUUUGAGAGAGGCAAUCUGAAUAACUCAGCUACUUCAUCACGUGGUCCAAAGCCCACGGUUCCGCAUUCACUUUUCUCUCAAAAAGCACUAGCAGCAGGGUCACUCUGCCACCCUCUCGCUUUGGGUCGAAUGUUUGCCUCUUUCCAGGAGAUACUGAAAUCUAAUCUCUCACGUGACAGUAUUAGAAAGUGGGUAUUUGGGGAUGUGAUUAGGUCGUGAGGGCAGAGGCCUUAUGAAUUGAAUGAACGUCUUGUGAGACAGGCCCCAGAGGGCUGCUUCUCCUCCUCUGUGAUGCGAGGAUGCAGCAAGAACGAGGCGGAUGGAUCACAAGGUCAAGAGAUCGAGACCAUCCUGGUCAACAAAGUGAAACCCCACCUCUACUAAAACUACAAAAAUUAGCUGGGCAUGGUGGCGCGUGCCUGUAAUCCCAGCUACUCAGGAGGCUGAGGCAGGAGAAUUGCCUGAACCCAGAAGGCGGAGGUUGCGGUGAGCCGAGAUCGCGCCAUUGCACUCCAGUCUGGGUAACAACAGCGAAACUCAGUCUCAAAAAAAAAAAAAAAAAAAGGACGAGGCAUCAACAAACCAAGAAUGGCCCCCACCAGAUGCAGAAUCUGCCAGCACCUUGAUCUUGGCCGUCCCAGCCUCCAGAGCUGUGAGAAGUAUUUGUCUGUGGUUCUUAAGUCACCUAGCCUGCAAUAUUCUGCUACAGUGAAGCAAACAGACUGACAGGAAUUGAUACUGACAAGCAGGGUGUUGUAACAAAUAC